rnacentral:tRNA from 1 species
GCCUGUGUGGCUCAGUCAGUUAAGCAUCUGACUUCAGCUCGGUCAUGACCUCACAGUCAGUGGGUUUGAGUCCCACAUCAGGCU